UGGCUCGGCGAGCUAUGGAGAUGGUUCAACUUCCAGAGGCUUCCUCAUAAAUUUUUGGAAUUUUUGAGACACAGAUAAACUUCGGGUGAGCCGGGACAGCCUUCUUCCUCCGCCCAGCUGCCACAGUGAUUGUCGUCAAGUCUGCCACAGGAGGAGUUAUUUUACAGAGCAACCUGUUUUCUUCCUCGCAGGUUUAACGUCAAUUAUUUAAUUGUUUUACUAUCUUUUCUAAAUUAAAAAUCUAGAACUCCGCAUGUGUUAGAAAUAGUGUGGACCUUGGUAGAGGUUGUGCUAACUUAAAUUUUUAAGAUUAAUAAAUGAAGAUUUCUAUGGUAUUUAAACAGUUUGUA